GACGUAGGUGGCGAACGUUAUCCGGAAUUACUGGGCGUAAAGGGCGCGUAGGCGGAAUGGCAAGUCGGUCGUGAAAUCCUUCGGCUCAACCGAAGAACGUCGAUCGAAACUGCCGUUCUUGAGGAUUGCAGAGGAGACUGGAAUUCCCCGGUGUAGCGGUGAAAUGUGUAGAGAUCGGGAGGAACGACCGGUGGCGAAGGCGGGUCUCUGGGCAAUUCCUGACGCUGAGGCGCGAAAGCGUGGGGAGCAAACGGG
rnacentral:rRNA from 1 species